rnacentral:rRNA from 1 species
GACCAGACUCCUACGGGAGGCAGCAGUGGGGAAUAUUGCACAAUGGGGGAAACCCUGAUGCAGCGACGCCGCGUGAGCGAUGAAGUAUUUCGGUAUGUAAAGCUCUAUCAGCAGGGAAGAAGAUGACGGUACCUGACUAAGAAGCCCCGGCUAACUACGUGCCAGCAGCCGCGGUAAUACGUAGGGGGCAAGCGUUAUCCGGAUUUACUGGGUGUAAAGGGAGCGUAGACGGCGAUGCAAGCCAGAUGUGAAAGCCCGGGGCUCAACCCCGGGACUGCAUUUGGAACUGUGUGGCUGGAGUGUCGGAGAGGCAGGCGGAAUUCCUAGUGUAGCGGUGAAAUGCGUAGAUAUUAGGAGGAACACCAGUGGCGAAGGCGGCCUGCUGGACGAUGACUGACGUUGAGGCUCGAAAGCGUGGGGAGCAAACAGGAUUAGAUACCCCAGUACCC